GGGCCUGUAGCUUAGUCGUAGAGCGCUUCCCUUGCAAGGAGGAGGUCUCGGGUUCAAAACUUCAUUCAAUACAACUGAAUGGGGUGAACUUCCCGACGGGUCCA
rnacentral:tRNA from 1 species